rfam:Oryza sativa Japonica Group DNA, chromosome 5, cultivar: Nipponbare, complete sequence.
AAAAAGGCAAAUCCUGGGUUUCCGUGCCAACGUUUGACUGUCCGUCUUAUAUGAAAUUUUUUUAUAAUUAGUAUUUUCAUCGUUGUUAGAUGAUAAAACUUGAUUAAUACUUUAUGCGUGACUUGUCUUUUUAAUUUUUUCAUAAUAUUUUUAAAUAAGACGGACGAUCAAACGUUGCACACGGAUACCAGAGUUUGUCUUUUUU